CUCUAUGGCCAUGCCACCCUGACCAUGCUCGAUCUCCAAAUCUGAAUUUGGAGGCUAAGCAGGAUCAGGCCUGGUUAGUACUUGGAUGGGAGACCACCUAGGAAUACCAGAUGGUGUAGGCA
rnacentral:rRNA from 1 species